rnacentral:rRNA from 1 species
AGGACGAACGCUGGCGGCGUGCUUAACACAUGCAAGUCGAGCGGAAAGGCCCUUCGGGGUACUCGAGCGGCGAACGGGUGAGUAACACGUGAGCAACCUGCCCUUAGCUUCGGGAUAGCUCCGGGAAACCGGAAUUAAUACCGAAUAUGACUUUGGCUGACAUCAGCAGAAGUGGAAAGUUUUUCGGCUAGGGAUGGACUCGCGGCCUAUCAGCUAGUUGGUGAGGUAACGGCCCACCAAGGCGACGACGGGUAGCCGGCCUGAGAGGGCGACCGGCCACACUGGGACUGAGACACGGCCCAGACUCCUACGGGAGGCAGCAGUGGGGAAUAUUGCGCAAUGGGCGAAAGCCUGACGCAGCGACGCCGCGUGGGGGAUGAAUGCCUUCGGUUGUAACCCUUUCAGCAGGGACGAAGCGAAAGUGACGGUACCUGCAGAAGAAGCGCCGGCUAACUACGUGCCAGCAGCCGC